CAAUGAGUGUUUUAUGGCACUCUUUAAAAAUCCAUAUCCACCUUGUGUGCAAUGUUUGUUGGGAGAGAGGCAACUCUUUCCCUUCACAAAUAUCAACCUAUAUCUUUAACAACAUUCGUCUGAGUACUAUAUAAUAGUUA
rnacentral:misc_RNA from 1 species